rfam:Medicago truncatula strain A17 chromosome 5, whole genome shotgun sequence.
AUAUAAGCAAAUUUUACUUUUUAGGUUCAUUCAAUUAAUGAUGUAUGUGGUACCACAUACAUCAUUAAUUGAAUGAACCUAAAAAGUAAAAUUUGCUUAUAU